rnacentral:rRNA from 1 species
GAAUAUUGCACAAUGGAGGAAACUCUGAUGCAGCGACGCCGCGUGAGUGAAGAAGGUCUUCGGAUCGUAAAACUCUGUCCUUGGUGAAGAUAAUGACGGUAGCCAAGGAGGACGCCCCGGCGAACUACGUGCCAGCAGCUGCGGUAGUACGUAGGGGGCUAGCGUGGUCCGGAUUUACUGGGCGUAAAGGGUGAGUAGGCGGUUAUGUAUGUCAGAUGUAAAAGGCGUGGGCUUAACUUACGUUAGCAUUUGAAACUGCAUAACUUGAGUGCGGGAGAGGUAAGUGGAAUUCCUAGUGUAGCGGUGAAAUGCGUAGAUAUUAGGAGGAACACCAGUGGCGAAGGCGACUUACUGGACCGUAACUGACGCUGAGUCACGAAAGCGUGGGUAGCAAACAG